UACGUAGGGGGCAAGCGUUAUCCGGAUUUACUGGGUGUAAAGGGAGCGUAGACGGCCAUGCAAGCCAGGGGUGAAAGCCCGGGGCCCAACCCCGGGACUGCCCUUGGAACUGCAUGGCUGGAGUGCGGGAGGGGCAGGCGGAAUUCCUGGUGUAGCGGUGAAAUGCUUAGAUAUCACGAAGAACUCCGAUUGCGAAGGCAGCUCACUAGACUGCAACUGACACUGAUGCUCGAAAGUGUGGGUAUCAAACAGG
rnacentral:rRNA from 1 species